UGUGCUCUUCUGAUCAAUUUAGGCAUAAAAAGCAAUGGCAAAUCUGAAUCAUCAAGAAAGAAAGGGGCUGAGAGUUCCCAAGUACGGGAGGGACACCUUGAGAAGUUAAAGCAUAUCGUUCAAGGUCAGCUAGAAUAAAGUAAGACAGGUGAAGAGGUUUAUCAUAGCUUGCGUAAUUUUUAAUCUAGAAAAAUUUCAGUGACUUAUAAAAAUACAUUUUCCGUGUAUUAUAAACUGUGGAAUAAAGUAUUUUCCUCUUUCAAAAAGAAGCCAUAUUGCAUAGGGGAAAAAAAAGGGAGUUCCAGCUUUGGAAGAAAGAGAAGAGGCCCAGAUUUGAAAUUUAUUAGAUGUGUUAUGUAGUCUCUCAGCUUUGUUUCAAAAUCUGGAAAAUGAGUUUAGUUUUACCUGGUUAAGUUUGUUAAUAACGUGUUGGUGUUCAGGCAGGAUUUCCUGCUAUCUUACUUAUAGGAGCCCAGUAGAGCCCUAAAAAUUCCAUCUCUCCUUCUCCCUUAACAGUUUCACUUCUACCUAAUUACAGAAUUUAAGCAUCCAUGCAGGGUUUGAAAAACUGGCUUCAGUGAUAGCAAAAAGCUUGAAAACCACAGAAAUAAUGUAUGUAAGCCAGAAAUUAUCAUGCCCUUUUAAAUUAUAGCUUCCAUUAUGGGAUAAUACAUGCUAAAUCUAUUAAACUCUAUAAACAUGAGCCUCCUGGUACUAAAUCGUAACCUCUCAGGUCACCUGGACAAAAUGUCUUACAGGGGAGCACCUCUCAUGUGGAACUGAGCCCUGGUGCAGGCAUUGCUACAACCUGAGGUUUUCCAAUCACUUAAGUUUCUUUUGCUUUGGUUGUCGUUUCUGCCACUAAAUUAGGUUAUUGUAGAACUGGGCGGUGAGAACAACUAGAAAGACUAUUACGUGCAAAAGUACAAGAGAGGUAAUGUGAAAAUACCAAAAAAAGAAAAAAAAAUCUUUGGCAUCAUUCAAGCUGGGAAUGAAUUAUCAAGACCUUCAAAAAGACAAAAGAACUUGGAGCAAAUGAUGGUGUUUAAUUUGAUCAAGACAGUAUAAGCGUUCUUAAAAAGAAAAUUUGCACACUAUCUGGAAGCCAUAAGUUUACAGAGACCUCAUUUACACCUCUACUGACAGGCUAGUAACGGAUUAUCAUGAAUAGUUUGGGAGUUGGGAAUACAUUUUUAAAGUAUACAGAUGCUAAGGUGAAAUUUGCACAUUAAAGAUUUACAUUUCAUGCAUAUAACAACUUGCAGAAAGAACGACCUUCUAAUGUUCUUAUAUUCCGCUAUAUAGAAUUCUCCUUUGAAAAUAUUCUGUAUUUCAACAUAAUUCUGUGAAUUUCAUGAAAAUGACACAACAAAGUUGAACUCAGCAAGCUUGCAGCUUAUAGAGUUAAUUAAUGAGGAGUGUCACAGGAUUUACAAAUAAUCCAAUCCAUCAAAGUACGGUGAUAAUAAUAUCACUGUUGACUACAUCGGAUUGAGAUUAAUCAAGCAUUGGCGUCUUGGGCUCUGGGAAAAAUAUUAAGUACUAGAGCGUUCUAUCAUUACAGUAGUGUGAAUGCUGAUGAAAGAACUGGUGGUUAGAAUCCUCUUGUGGAAUUAAAUAUGUCAAAACAACUUAUACACAGUGGAGCUUACUUUGCAUAAAAGCCAAAAAACUUGAAAAACUUAAAAGACAAACAGUCAUAGCAUGAAACUACAGUAGUACAAGUGGAAUAGUUUAAAACAUUACUAGAAAACUAUUUGAAUGUUUUUAGGCCAGCCAAUUUGAAUGGCUGUAUCCAGGGUGAUAUUCAAAAUAUUGAACAGACAGCUUGGCAGGCACUGAUCAGCCCAACAGACACGCUGUGUGGUACAUCUCAGUCCAGCGUAAGCAUGCACACAGUGCCAAAUUGUGGGGGGUGGGGAGGCUCAAGAGCAAGUAAGUACACCCCAGUAUGCAAAGGUCCCAGGGUACCAUUCCUAAUACUCCUGACCUGGGGGCAUUUAUUUACCUUUGUAAAAGUAACCAAGGUGAUACUGAUAAACAGGAGUUUGGGAACCACUGGAUUAGAUGCCCUGUUUCAACUCAACCCAGAAUGAAUGGCCAAGUGAAUAAAUUCUCCUGCAAGUAAAGAUUUCUCUCAUCAAUCGGCUUCAAGUGAGCUGAGUUGCAUAAGGCCAAAUGGAUACCCUACAAUAAGAAUUAUCCCAGUGCAAACAGCAAUUCAUAGGUAUGAUGUAGUCAAAUUCAUUCAAAUCAAUUGCUUGUUUAUAGUUCAAGUACUUUAGAAAUUGACAGUGAAGUAGGGACAUGGCUCCUCGCAGGUGCUCUGAAAACCAGCUUCAUUUUAAUGUGUCUCUAGUAGUUACUGUUGUUAGAGUUGAUGUGGCUUUGCCAGGAUGCCAAGCCCGCAAUAGGUUUCACACUUUGAACUAGCUUUCAACUUUAUCUAAGACAUGUGAUGAGUUGUCUGAAGGCAGGUGUAGGACAGGCUCACUGAGAUAUCUACACAUGCACACACUGACAUUCCUAUUAGCAAAAUUCAGAAACGGAUCCGAAAUCGUGGAGGAAAUUUUUCUUUGGUUGAUUUUGUUUUUGUGUGUUGCCAGUUAACACUGAACUGGAUGGACCACAUCCAA